UCACCUCUUUGGUGUGUACUUUUCACUCACAGCUCAUCUAAACUGGGAUAAGCUAAUCGCCGUGACUACCACACUGGAUGAGAUGGUUGGAUGGCAUCACUGACUCAAUGGACAUGAGUUUCAGGAAACUCUGGGAGAUGGUGAAGAAUAGCUCACGCUGUCCCCCACAUCAGAGCCCCACCCUCCCAGGGCAGCUGAGGACGCAGUGCUGGAGGAGCAAAUCAGGACAGUUACAGCAUGUGGGAUCUA